rnacentral:misc_RNA from 1 species
CUCAGCCUCUUGUAUCCCUCCACUCCUCCAAAACUUUGUCAAUACAAAACAACUGAACUCUGAAACUUUGGCUACUUCACCCUUCGUCUUUGCGAGUCCGGGAUCUCCUUUAAUUUUAAGUCCGGCAGCGGCAGGGAAAGAAGUGAUGGGGUUUGUUAAAGAAUGUGAAACAAAGUAUAUAGUAAUGGAUGAUUUAAGGGUGUUCCCA